rnacentral:rRNA from 1 species
GACGAACGCUGGCGGCGUGCUUAACACAUGCAAGUCGAACGGAAAGGCCCUGCUUUUGUGGGGUGCUCGAGUGGCGAACGGGUGAGUAACACGUGAGUAACCUGCCCUUGACUUUGGGAUAACUUCAGGAAACUGGGGCUAAUACCGGAUAGGAGCUCCUGCUGCAUGGUGGGGGUUGGAAAGUUUCGGCGGUUGUGGAUGGACUCGCGGCUUAUCAGCUUGUUGGUGGGGUAGUGGCUUACCAAGGCUUUGACGGGUAGCCGGCCUGAGAGGGUGACCGGCCACAUGGGGCCUGCGAUACGGCCCAGUCGCCUACGGGAGGCAGCAGUGGGGAAUAUUGCACAAUGGGCGGAAGCCUGAUGCAGCAACGCCGCGUGCGUGAUGACGGCCUUCGGGUUGUAAACCGCUUUCGCCUGUGACGAAGCGUGAGUGACGGUAAUGGGUAAAGAAGCACCGGCUAACUACGUG